UCUAUGAUCUUAUUGUUCCUCUCUCUUGAACAUUUCUAUUUCAUGAAUUCAGGAAUUACUUCAUUAUGACUCAUCAAUUAUUCCCAACAAUGCUAAAAAUGAGUAAAAUGAUAAGAAAAUAGAAUAAUGAUGGAGUUGCCUGGAAGGAUGAUGCGAUUGCAGAAUAAACCUCCAUUCUCAUUAUCAUUCAGUUUUCUUAUUUUUUGACUAAAAUGUUGCAUCGUCAUUCAAGAACGCAUAAAAGAAGUCUGGAAACAUUCUUAUGAUCUACUUCUAGUUUCAUUGAGCACAGUUUAGAAUUUAGAAGUUCUAUGUUUCGUCCAUAACUCAAAAAGAAGAAAAUGGACAACGGAAGAUGUUUAGGUUAUUAGAUGAAUCAGAAGACAAAUGUAAAAAAGAGAGCUAAGUAUGCUAAACUUAAAUGAUUAGGGUGAAAUUGAAAUUAAUUGUUCAAAUGAAAUCUCAGACCAUGGAUUUUCAGAUGAAAUGAAUUUUCUCAAACUCAAGAAUCCAUGAGGGAACAAUUCAUUUCCAAGGACAAAAAUGAAAUAGGAUAUUCUCAUGCAGUUAGUCCUUCAACCAGAAGGAAUUUACCAUGCAAUAUUUUGCGGCAAGAACCUAACCUAUCUCAUUUUGUUUUAAGGGUAUAUUAUAAUACUUUUUCAUUUUUUAUAAAGUCUGUGUGCCAAAAUUUAUAGUUUUUAAGUACACAAAUGUUAAAGAAAGGUUAAGGCCAGUAUCAGAAUGAAAUCAAUUAUGUAUAAAUAAAAAAAAAACAAAACUCAUUGGAUUCAUCAUUCUAAAUAAUGUUUAAGAAUCUAAAAAUAAAAAUGUCUUGUAGUUAUGGAAUGGAGAUGACAUUGUCUUUUAACAAAAUUAUGUGCCUCAAAGAUUUGAAAAAGUUGACUGUUACAUUUUGAUAACGUAAAUUCUAAAUGAACCAGAAGUGAUACUAUGCUAGAACCUAUUAAAGAUGUGUUUGAAAUCUAGAAUUAGUAUCAAUUAGAUGUAUAUAUUGCAGGUUUAUUCAUGAUAUUGAUGGGCAGUUAGUUCCUUUCUGAAGAUGUUUCCAAUCUGGAGUAUAUACAUCUUCAAAAUCAGAAAAUUGAUGAAAUAAACUUUUAGUUUUGCUAUGUUUAAGUUCUUAUCACAAUUUUCACCCCUUUACUCUUACUUCUGUAAACCAUUUUUUAAAUGAUUUAAAAUAUUAAAAACACUAAGAGGUCCAAAUGGUAAGUAAAGAUAACUAUUGUUCCUAGUAUGCUGAGAUUAGCACUUACAUUUUCUAAACCUCUAUUGCAUACUUAUCAAUUUAUCCUUAGUUAUAAAGUUAUAUAUGCCAUGUCUUAUCUCUUUUCUGGACUAGCAGCUUGCAGAGGGGAUUCAACAGAUGUUUAUUGAGUUAACAUCAAAACUCCCAGAACUUUUAUUUUGUGAAAAUAAUGAGAUGUUUGGAAUUAAAGUGAGUAUGUUUUCAUGGAGCAGUAUUUUUUGGAGGAAAGUAAAGUAAGGCUGAGUCUUACCUAGUCUUCUACAUUAUAGCCAAUUGAGCUCUGAAAUACAUUAGAUUAAACCAUUAAAUAACGGUGACUAUAAUGCAAUUACAUUUGACCUCUUCUCAGCAGGAUCAAACCAAAAAUGCAGUUAGGCACAACUGAAGUUCAAGAAAAGGAUCUUAAUAAAAUGAGAGUACUCUUAUUCCUUGAGGCUCUAUUUCUAGCUGUGGACCUAAAAACCCAUAGAAUUGGAAUACAGACUGCCAAAGAAUACCUUAUUAUACUCAGAGAAGAUUUUGAUAGAGAUGAAAAGUUGAAAAAAAAGUGUUAAAAUGAUGAAGCAAAAGCAUACAUGGCCUAGUUCUUGUACUGGACAUUUAAAUUGAUUUCCUUAUCUACAAUAAAUAUAAAGAGGUCUGUAA